rnacentral:rRNA from 1 species
UCCUACGGGAGGCAGAAUCAGGGAAUAUUCGCCAAUGGGCAAAAGCCUGAUCCAGCCUUCCCCCUUGUGUGAAGAAGGCCUUUUGGUUGUCAAGGUCUUUGAAUGGGGAGGUAAAAGUUUGCGGGUUAAUACCCAUAGAGCCCUGACACUUACCCACAGUAAUAAGCUACCCGCCUAUCAUCUGUGCCUACCACCCACGGCCAUCUACAUAGGUGCGCUGCCAGUUAAUCGCGAAUUAUCUCG